AUGGAUCAUCUUAUCAUGGAUGACGUCCUCGCGACACCGAUCACCACAAAAUCAUCAUGUUGCGGCAUCGCACCGCAACUAACCAUCAACUCCAUCGUGCUGCCAACAGCGCCCACCUUGCGCCGUCUUGCCGUGGACGACGCUGUCGCGGCGCCGAGUACCACGACCUCUUGCCGCACGCAGCGGCCAUGUCUUCACAUGGACGACGCCUUCGCGGCGCCGAUCGCCACGCCGUCUUCUCCUCAUAACGGCCUCGUGCCGUCGUACCUUCCAUCGGCGUCACACCGUCGUCUUGUGGCAGCUUCGCACCGCCAUCAUCUAGCGGCAUCACACCGCAACCGGCCACCGGUAGCAUCGCGCCGCCGACGGCCACCCACCUCGUGCCGACGUCCUCCACCUCACAUGGAGUCCGCCGCGUCGUCGUCGCCGCCAUCGCUUCCGCGGAUCGACAAGGCUCUGAUACCAAUUGUUGGCGCCGCCUCCUCGCAGCGCCGCUCCUUCUUCUACCUCGAGUUGCCUCUCACAACUCUCUUCUCCCUCUCACAAGAUUCUCUUGUGUUUUUUCUCAAGAACUCUCUCAUGAACACACACACACACACGCACGCAUAUACCAAGGAAGAGGAACGGCUUUGCCAGAGACACUCCCUUGGUGAACCACAAUGGCUACAUGGUUUCUCUGCUCAGCCCUCUCGGCCUCAUCUUUCUCAUUCAUUUGUUGUGCUUAAAUAG
rnacentral:rRNA from 1 species